UACGUAGGGUGCGAGCGUUAAUCGGAAUUACUGGCGUAAAGCGUGCGCAGGCGGUGAUGUAAGACAGGUGUGAAAUCCCCGGGCUUAACCUGGGAAUGGCAUUUGGGACUGCAAGGCUUGAGUGCGGCAGAGGAGACUGGAAUUCCUGGUGUAGCAGUGAAAUGCGUAGAUAUCAGGAGGAACACCGAUGGCGAAGGCAGGUCUCUGGGCUGACACUGACGCUCAUGCACGAAAGCGUGGGGAGCGAAACAAGGAUUGA
rnacentral:rRNA from 1 species